GUCAAGCAUGAAUAAUUGACCCUGGAAAUGGUUGUACUCUCCAUUACUGAGAAAUAAAUCCAGCAGCUCAAAGGAGACCCAAGAUUUUGGGGGGGGGGGUAAAUGGCAUCUAUAAGAUGUUUUAGAGAUAAAUAAAACAAAUGAAUAUUAUUAAAGUCAGAUCAGCAUAGAGAGUAAAUUAUUUGUGGAGCUAACGGGAAAGACUCAAAGCAAACCACAUGUAAUUUACUGAGGAGACAUUUGAACUGUUUCCUUUAGCAAAAGCAGGUGCAUCGAUUAAUUAAGACAACCUAAUGAGAGGAAAUUUUCAAACUCCUGGAACCUAAAAACCGAUUGGCUUUAAGCUUUGAGAAAAUGUCUACACGGAUUAAAGAAAAUGGAAUGGAGGCAGGGGGAUGGACACGAUGAACUCUGAUGAUGGAACCAACCCUGGCAGACGCAGGAUUGUACUCUUGGCUGACUCCGCAGCGACGGACAAAGGCUAGAAGAAAGCCAUGACGACCCCACCCGUAUGUAAAGACGUGAAAUAAAUUUCCUGUGAGCUCUCAUCCACCGCUUCCUCCACCAUCAACA